rnacentral:rRNA from 1 species
GUGCCAGCAGCCGCGGUAAUACGUAGGGGGCGAGCGUUGUCCGGAGUUACUGGGCGUAAAGGGCAUGCAGGCGGUCGGACGCGUUUCGGGUGACAGCGGGUGGCUUAACUACCCGAGUGGUCGAAAGACGGUUUGACUUGAGGACGCGAGAGGGACACGGAAUUCCGGGUGGAGUGGUGAAAUGCGUAGAGAUCCGGAGGAACACCGAAGGCGAAGGCAGUGUCCUGGCGCGUAACUGACGCUGAGGUGCGAAAGCCAGGGGAGCGAACGGGAUUAGAUACCCCCGUAGUCC